rnacentral:lncRNA from 1 species
ACAAGUACUAAACAUGCGGUCCUGGUCAACGUAUCUGUCCAAGCAUACGGUCAACCAAGUACAAAACCUGCGUUGAAAAUCCUGGACAAUUCACAGAACCAAGGUGCAGGUAGCCUAUUCAUAAUGGACUAUUGGGAUUGGCAUGAACAGUGCGCCUUGUUUUUCGGCCCAGAGUUUAUAUGUCAACAACUUGUAUGGAAUCAACGUGUUCAAAAUUCGCCUGUAUGUGACGCUGCGUACACCGAAACUUGUGGUAGGCGCUACGAGAUUUACAAAAGAGACUGCCUAUGAUAAGGAGAUAUUUGUGUCAGUCUGCGCAAGGGCUAACUUCAAGGCAUGAAUCGCAAUAAACUACAUUUGGCAUAUAGCAGUUUCGAAUGUACUGAAAACAUUAUUGUGUAGUUAACAGUGAAUAAA